GAUGAACGCUAGCGGCAGGCUUAAUACAUGCAAGUCGUGGGGCAGCAGCUUUAUAGCAAUAUAGAGGCUGGCGACCGGCAAACGGGUGCGGAACACGUACUGAACCUUCCUUUAAGUGGGGAAUAGCCCAGAGAAAUUUGGAUUAAUACCCCGUAACAUAUAAAAGUGGCAUCACUUUUAUAUUAAAGCUCCGGCGCUUAAAGAUGGCAGUUCGGCUGAUUAGGUAGUUGGCGGGGUAACGGCCCACCAAGCCUACGAUCAGUAACUGGUGUGAGAGCACGACCAGUCACACGGGCACUGAGACACGGGCCCGACUCCUACGGGAGGCAGCAGUGGGGAAUAUUGGACAAUGGGGGGAACCCUGAUCCAGCCAUGCCGCGUGUGUGAAGAAGGCCUUAUGGUUGUAAAGCACUUUAAGCGAGGAGGAGGCUACUUUAGUUAAUACCUGGAGAUAGUGGACGUUACUCGCAGAAUAAGCACCGGCUAACUCUGUGCCAGCCGCCGCCGUAA
rnacentral:rRNA from 1 species